GUAACAUCCGCAAAAUCUUUGCAAAAAAUGGAAUGUUCCCUGAAAGUUCUCAUAACCAACAAAAACGUUUUUGUAUUUAAAAAAAAACUAGGAGGGAAGGUAAAUGAUUGUUUUAAUGCUCAUUUGAGAUUUCAUCUUUCCAGGCUGCGUCCUAAACCCUUGUUUGAGGUUCCCUGUACACCUGUAAUUGUUUAUUCGGAGACGCGAGGCCCGGCGCAGAUGCUCUCAUCCAAAGUGACUGUGCUGGCAAACCAAAUGCUGAGGAAAAAACUUGACAAAUGCGAAGAGGGUGAGUUCAAGUUAGCAAUUAAAAACAUUCUAAAUGCAUCUGAAAUAUUUACUUAAGCAUGUAAGUUUCAAUGUGAAUUUGCACAAACAAUCAAACAGCACAUUGGUUUGGUCCUCCACUAGGGGGCGUGUUAUGCUGAUAAUUCACACGCUCUUAUGUGUUUAUGACUCAGACUUGUUGCAUUCUUGCAUUAUUUCUCAUGUGCACUAAUAUCGUCCCACUGUAAGUAGGUUUACUGUAGUGAACUGGGCCACUGCAGCAUAUUACAGACUCACCUGGGGACUUUUUUAUCAUCUUUAAAAGCUGCAUUUAUAUCUCAAGUUCAUUUGACUGAUUUGUGAUAAAAUUUAACAUGAUAAAUUGCAUAAAUGGCAGAUUUGAUCAAUUUAAAUGCAACUUUAGUUGAUGUGAAUGCAAAAUAAUUAUAUAUAUAUAUAUGUAUAUAUGUAUGUGAAAUAUAUAUAUUUGCUAAUGUAUUUCAAAAUAUAUUUGCAUAAAUAUAUUUUCUAUCAAUAUAGUUUUGUGGCAAUGUUUCGUACGUUUUUUGAAAGUACAUUUUAAAAAUAUAAAUAUAUUUUUAAAA
ensembl:lncRNA